CUCACUUUCCCUCACCCUUUCUCCACUUUUCUCUCUGAAAAAAUUCUCACUUUUUUUCUCACACUUUCCCGGAUAACCCAAUCCAUCCCAUCUUCAACAGCAGAAAAUUUUCCCUCAAGAAAGUGGUUUUCCUUACCACAAAAACAGACGUAUUCAAUUCAAGAAACGGGUUCAAAGAUUUUCCCCAGAAAAUCUGAUUCUCUCUCUUCAAAUGGGUUUUUAAUUUUGAAAUACUUAAUUUCUUAAUUUAAUUUAAUUAAAAAAAAAUUUCUUCUGUUUUUGCAGACUACUGACGGUGAUGAGGAAGUUAUGUACAAAGUUUCCAAUCUCUCAAAUCAAGAAAAGGGUCUGAAGAUUUUCUCUGGUACUGGGAUACAAGGCAGUCAAAUCCAGUGCAUACUCCCUAACCGCUUUUAUUCUUUUACAAUGCGGCAUCCCCUGAUGGUUGUUGACACUGCAGAUUGCAAUCUGAUAGUUUUCAACUUGCAGAACCCUCUGGUGACAUUCUCAUCUAAUAAAAUGAACCAAUAAUGAUUUCUUGCAUCUUUCUUUGACAAUCAGAUGCUUCAUUAUUACAGAACAACACUUUGUAAGUCUGGCAGUAAUGUUUCGCACUUAAAGGAAAAACCCAAGUGGUCUGUAGCUACUAAGAGAGAUGUUUACAAAUGCUGGAGCAAGAGAAAUGAUUUCUAUGCAGUAUAGAGACCUUUUUGUAUCAACACUCUAAAAGACUGAGUUCAAGAGAAUCACUUCACCUCUAAAGUACCAGACAAGAUGUGUUGCUGCCUUUCCAGAUCAGCAAGGUUUGUUGUUGAUAGAUCGGAUCCAAGAAAGGCAAUUUCCUUGUUAUGGUCUGCCAUAAAUGCUGGGGACCAGGUUGAUAGUGCCUUGAAAGACAUGGCAGUUGUGAUGAAACAAUUGGAUCGAUUUGACGAGGCAAUUGAGGCUAUCAAAUCUUUUUGUCAUCUCUGCCCUUUUGAUUCUUAGGAAUCUCUUGGCAAUGUGUUAGUUGAACUCUACAAGGUAAAACUAAAACCAGUUUUAUCCAAUAAAUAGUUUCUUAUAUUUUACUUGCCAUUCUUUGUCAUUUUCCUUUCAGCUAGUUACAUAUAUUGGGGCAACAACAACAAGAAAGCUGGAGUGUGGCAAGUAUAAAGGGUCUAGAAAUCAAUCAGCUUAAACUAGACUGGCCUACAAGGCUUAAGAUAUGUAUUGGGAUAGCAAGGGCCUUAGCUUUUUACCAUGAAGAAUCAAGACUCAAGAUUGUUCACAGAGACAUCAAAGCUACUAAUGUGUUGCUAGAUGGAGACUUAAAUCCUAAAAUAUCUGACUUUGGAUUGGCUAAACUUGAUUAAGAGGAGAAGACUGACAUUAGCACCAAGUGGAUAUAUGGCACCAGAAUAUGUAUUAUGGGGUUAUUUGACCUACAAAAUAGAUGUUUAUAAGUUUUGGAGUUGUGUGGCCUUAGAAGUUCUCAGUGGAGAGAGCAACAAUAAUUUUAUGCCAAGUGACAUUUGUGUUUGCCUUUUAGAUCUGUCUUGCCAUUUGCAACAAAGGGGGAACUUGAUGAAGCUAAUUGAUGAGAGCUUGGGGUCUGAGGUCAACAUAUAAAAGAAGCUGAAAUUUUGGUUAAAGUGGCUCUUCUGUGGACAAAUGCAACCCCAUCACGAAGGCCUAUCAUGUAUCAUGUCUGAAGUCGUAAGAGGGGCGAAUGAUUGUUCCAGACAUGAUUCCUGAACCAAGUACCUAUAGUGAUGAUCUAAGGUUUAAGGCUACGAGAGACCUUCGUCGACAAAGGGAAAAUCAGAAUUUGAGUAGAAACCAAACCCAAAAUUCAACAAAAGUCCAUACAUUCUCCUCUCCCACUAUAUAUAUCUAUCCAAGAUUAUUUUGAAAUCAGUCCAGAAUCUAUUCCUGUUUA